rnacentral:rRNA from 1 species
AUUGAACGCUGGCGGCAUGCUUUACACAUGCAAGUCGAACGGUAACAGGCCGCAAGGUGCUGACGAGUGGCGAACGGGUGAGUAAUGCAUCGGAACGUGCCCAGUCGUGGGGGAUAACUACUCGAAAGAGUAGCUAAUACCGCAUACGAUCUAUGGAUGAAAGCGGGGGACCGUAAGGCCUCGCGCGAUUGGAGCGGCCGAUGUCAGAUUAGGUAGUUGGUGGGGUAAAGGCUCACCAAGCCAACGAUCUGUAGCUGGUCUGAGAGGACAACCAGCCACACUGGGACUGAGACACGGCCCAGACUCCUACGGGGGGCAGCAGUGGGGAAUUUUGGACAAUGGGCGCAAGCCUGAUCCAGCAAUGCCGCGUGCAGGAAGAAGGCCUUCGGGUUGUAAACUGCUUUUGUACGGAACGAAACGGCUCUGGUUAAUACCCGGGGCUAAUGACGGUACCGUAAGAAUAAGCACCGGCUAACUACGUG